GACGUAGGAGGCAAGCGUUGUCCGGAGUUACUGGGCGUAAAGCGCGCGCAGGCGGUCACGCAGGUCAUCUGUGAAAGCACCCGGCUCAACCGGGUUGUUGCGGGUGAAACCGCGUGACUUGAGGUUGGGAGGGGUCGGUGGAAUUCCCGGUGUAGUGGUGAAAUGCGUAGAGAUCGGGAGGAACACCCGUAGCGAAGGCGGCCGACUGGACCGAUCCUGACGCUGAGGCGCGAAGGCCAGGGGAGCGAACGGG
rnacentral:rRNA from 1 species